AAGAAGCAGCUUCUCAGCCUUUUUCUUCACCUUUGUUUUCCGCCACCAAGCUUCUCCGCUCACUUGACUCCACCAACAGCCACGCGCCGCCGCCUGAAAUUUUACACGCGUAUCGUAUCUUAUGGAGAAAAUAUUGGAAAAUAUUCCACCUCUUCAAUGACAGCUAAGCGGGGUUAAGUUCAUAUGGCUAGUUGUCUCGACACAAAUUUUUCGGAAUGUUCUUUGACUGGAAAAUUAAUAUCUGAGUGCUCGAAACUUUUUUUGGGAAUUUCCUGAAGAGAAUUUAUUCACCUCUUCAAUGACAUAUAAGCAGGGUUAAGUUCCUCCAGCCAAAAGACUGCACCUGC